rnacentral:ncRNA from 1 species
GUUAAAGCUUUGAAGAGAACUAGUACUUUAUAUCAUUUCUUUUACAGAGAGUUCCCGGUUGGUGAAAGGGGCAAAGAAACUUAAAGGAAUACAUCUCUGAGCAGCACACCAAAAUCCAUUGUGAGAGUAGGCUGUUGUCGGUAUUCUUCCACCGUUAAAAGGAUAGAGCAUCAUGUUUUGUAGUAUAGUAGUAUGGUUAGUAAUUAUGACAUCGUGCUUGAUAAGAUCGAUAUAGCAAUAUAUUGGUGAAUUUAAGGUGGUACCGCGUGAGUAGAAUUUUAUAGCUCUCGUCCUUUUU